AUCUACAGCCAUGCAACCCUGAACAAGCCUGAUCCCGUCUAAUCUCGGAAGCUAAGCAGGGUCGGGCCUGGUUAGUACUUGGAUGGGAGACCACCUAGGAAGACCAGGUGCUGUAGGUG
rnacentral:rRNA from 1 species